GACGAACGCUGGCGGCGUGCCUAAUACAUGCAAGUAGAACGCUGAAGGAGGAGCUUGCUCUUCUGGAUGAGUUGCGAACGGGUGAGCAACGCGUAGGUAACCUGCCUGGUAGCGGGGGAUAACUAUUGGAAACGAUAGCUAAUACCGCAUAAGAGUAGAUGUUGCAUGACAUUUGCUUAAAAGGUGCAAUUGCAUCACUACCAGAUGGACCUGCGUUGUAUUAGCUAGUUGGUGGGGUAACGGCUCACCAAGGCGACGAUACAUAGCCGACCUGAGAGGGUGAUCGGCCACACUGGGACUGAGACACGGCCCAGACUCCUACGGGAGGCAGCAGUAGGGAAUCUUCGGCAAUGGACGGAAGUCUGACCGAGCAACGCCGCGUGAGUGAAGAAGGUUUUCGGAUCGUAAAGCUCUGUUGUAAGAGAAGAACGAGUGUGAGAGUGGAAAGUUCACACUGUGACGGUAUCUUACCAGAAAGGGACGGCUAACUACGUG
rnacentral:rRNA from 1 species